AGAAUAAAAAUCUGUUCUCUUUUCAGUUCAUGGCAGAAUUCCCCUUGAUUUCAGUAGGACCAAAAUCACUAGACUCAUACAGCUGUAGCUUCCAGGAAAAUGUCACUAAACUACUCUUCAGCCUCAUUACAAAAUGGCCUCAUUUGUGAAUCAAUGCCUAAGUCCUGCAUAUUAGCCAGGGGCAUGACUCUCACUCUCCACAUUUCUGCAAAAUCCCAUGUCAAGUCCUUGAAGAGACCGUAAGUCCCGAAGAUGAUCAGUGCUGAUGAGUCAUGCCUCACCUACACACUGAACAAGAAGAGAAGCAAAAGGUUUCAGGAACUCCACAGGGACAUGUUCAGGCAGAAGAGCAAAUGCUAGUAAAAAAAUAUCCUCUGGGAUCUCUCUGAGAGAUGGAAAUGGAGCCACUGAAAGCCGGCCAUACGAACUGCCGCAGGGUUUGCAACUGCAUCAACAGUCAUGAAACCGAAAACGGCUAGCCAACAGAUCUAACUGUAUUAGUCUAAGCACCUUCUCUGUUUUCAUUACCUGGAUCAUCUGCUAUAGGAACCACAUCUUGCAUUCAUACACUUAGGUAUAAACCCAGACUGACAAGAAUCAGGAAGAUCUGAAAUAUCUAGACAACAUGAACAUUUUCUAUGGGAUACUGUGGAAGAGUUAGCUGGCUUGCCUUGUGUCUAGCCUUGGCUGCUUGAUAAGAGACAGGAAGGCAGCUUUGUCAGAUGUUGGCAUGCCUCUAUAUUGCUAAUUAUAAGGACAUUACAUACUCCAAACUCUUUUCUUUCAACAACAUGCUAAUGUUAGAAAACUAUACUAUCUAGCUGUGUCUGGCAUGCUAUCACCUGAUUAUCAAUGUGUCAAAUGUCGGUAAUAAAACUCAGUUACUAAGCA
rnacentral:lncRNA from 1 species